AUUGAACGCUGGCGGCAGGCCUAACACAUGCAAGUCGAGCGGCAGCGGGAAAGUAGCUUGCUACUUUUGCCGGCGAGCGGCGGACGGGUGAGUAAUGCCUGGGGAUCUGCCCAGUCGAGGGGGAUAACUACUGGAAACGGUAGCUAAUACCGCAUACGCCCUACGGGGGAAAGCAGGGGACCUUCGGGCCUUGCGCGAUUGGAUGAACCCAGGUGGGAUUAGCUAGUUGGUGAGGUAAUGGCUCACCAAGGCGACGAUCCCUAGCUGGUCUGGGAGGAUGAGCAGCCAAACUGGAACUGGGACACGGUCCAGACUCCUAAGGGAGGCAGCAGGGGGGAAUAUUGCACAAUGGGGGAAACCCUGAUGCAGCCAUGCCGCGUGUGUGAAGAAGGCCUUCGGGUUGUAAAGCACUUUCAGCGAGGAGGAAAGGUUGGUAGCUAAUAACUGCCAGCUGUGACGUUACUCGCAGAAGAAGCACCGGCUAACUCCGUGCCAGCCGCCGCCGUAACAC
rnacentral:rRNA from 1 species